UUUCUACGUGACACCCCCCCCCCCCCCUCUGCCUGGCCCAUAAAUUGCAGGUUGUUUUUCUGCCGCUGGCCUGUCACUCCGGGGAGCUGCCCCGUGCUCGCCGGCCACGGGAAGUGACAUUUUGAAAUUCAGGGCCGAUCUGUGUGUCGGGCGAAAUAGCUGGGAAAUAGGGCACACAGGGAGGGAAACGAAAGCGGUGCCUUGCCAUCCCCCCGCACCCGUUUGAGCCUGCUCGUGAAAUGGCAGCACAUCCCCGAGUCCAGAGGUCAUGACUAGACAGUCUUCUUGCCUUUUUCCUUGUCCCCUAUUUGCUGUCACAUGCUAAACAAAGCCAGGAACUAAUGCAGAAGCCACCUCGGUCGUGAAGCUUGGCUAAUUGCACCCAAAAAUGUCCCUGUCUUGGGGCUGAGCGCUGCACCAGCCUCUUCAAAAAAUCAGAUUAAACUAUUACCUUUUUCUGUGAGUCAUAACCUAACGUGCUAGAGGAUAAAAGAGCAGUCCUGAACCACGCUGUGGGUGCCAUCUAUUUCUUGCUCCCCUGUUACCUGCACUUGUUCAUCUAACAGGGUGUGGAGCGAUGCUGGCUGCUCCGAAAACCAUGUAGAUUUUCAUAUCGCCUUAAAAAAAUCAAUCGCUUUCUAAAUGUCAGGAACACACAAGUGGUGACACAGAGCUGUUUUAACCUCUACGACCUGGUCGUGCUGGGUCCUCGCACCCACAAAUUUACAGGAAAUGGUUUGUUUGGGGGAGCCUCCCAUUUCCAAAAAGCCAUUUAAUGUUUCCCAAGUUGAUAGAAUAUCGUGCUUCGACACUACUGAAUGUUAAAUUUCGACUUUAAAUUUGUAUUUUAUUCCGUUUGGAAAAAAUGCAGGAUUCUAUUGGUGACUUAAUUAUGGCAAAAAGGAAAGAGGUCGGAAUUCAAACCGAAAGUUGAAACGUGCAGGAUUUCACUUCAGCAGCCCUGGAAAGUUUCACUUUUCGUUUUCUUAUUUGUGGAAAUCCUGAGCGCUCCCAGGUCAGGAAGACGAUAGGGUGUGCGAGUCGGUGCCAAACCCCAGCACGGAGCUUCCCAAGGCAUUGCUGUCAGAGCGAAGGAGCAAUUUGGUGUCAAUGAGAAGUUGAUUGCCGUGGCAGGAGAAAGCCAGCUGCAGUCAGCGGCGUGGAAAAGGUCUUUAAUGAUGCAAACAACUUUUGGACAAAGUACAAAAGGGUAAAUAAGCGGCCAAGUCAGGAAGCACGGCAGGGAUGCGUUUGUAGGAGGGCCCUUCGUGGUCUGCUGCAGAAACACUUUGCUGGAGGCUCACGCACACGUAGACAACCUGAGGUCCAGCUCUUUUUCAUACCCAUUCUAAAAACCAAACCAAACCAAAGAUGGGCAUAAAUGGGCUAUUAAUACCGGGCUUUGUACUUGCUAUUGCUUAGGCGGUGAUUUAGCCAGGAUGCCACGCUAAUUUUAACUUUAGUCGUGGCGAGAAGCCCGGGUGAUGUGAGGCGUGCUCCGAGGAGCUGUGGGCUUCAAAGGGAACGUUGAAGUUCGUGGCCAGCUUGGACAGGGAGGGUCUUCAAAGUCAUUUAAACCCACAGGUAGGUCCAGGACCUUCACUGCCUCUGGGUAAAUGCAAGGGUCUGAAAAAGCAACUUUUGCUAUAACAGAGCAAAAGGGGAAUCGGGAGGCGGCUGCGCUCCUCGGUUCACUGUACUGUUUGGCCUUAUGCCUGGAAGUUUGGUGACUUUAGGCAGCUUGCUUAGCAGUCCUUUCCAAAGUCGAUGCACUUCGCAGUAGUUAAUUACUAUCCAAUUAUUAUCUUCAGCAGUGGAUUUCAUGUGCAAAAUACUAUUUCUUGGAACCUGAUAUUUAAAAUCUGGGUGCCUGUCCCGUACCUGCCGCAUUUGUUGUGCGUACAGACAAGUGGUGUGCGCUGAAACCACACUCUCAGUUCUGCAUUUUUUGUGCACAGAAGUGACUAAAUUUGUCCUUUUCCUUCAUAAACUGACCCAGGCCACCUGCCCUCUGAACGCUGUGCCUGGGGGGGGGGGGGACACGGGAGAAAACAGCCACGGGAACACGGUGGACCCUCCUCCUGCUUCCAGCAGUCCCGGCGUUGGUUGGCCACGAGAAAUCUAGGAAAUAAUGAAGUUCUUAAAGGAAAAGAAAAGUUGGAGCCAUUGGGGUAGAGUAUUGCUGGGAAAGGUUUGGGAAUAUCAUCAGAGAAAUCGCCUCCACCGCUUUUGGUUCGCACUGCAGAAGGCAGGGCCUUAGGUAGGCUUUGGUAAACAGAAACGUGCCAAGAACUGCUUCGCUCCCUCAUCGGUCACUAGAAAUAUUUUGACUGUAAAAACUGCUAGCUCUUUACAAAAUACAACCAAGUCUUGUUUCAAAACGUGAGUGAGGCGGGUGCCCGGGCAUCCGGGGCUGCUGCUGGUGAAGGGCAGGGCCAGGCUGGCAGGCGCCCACGCUCCCCAAGAGAAGGGUGGACAAUCCUCCUCCUUCCCUAUUUGUCUUCCUCUAACGCCGUGUGAGGAGCACAGAUUUAAAACAAACAGAAAACAAGCAAAGAAAUUGUGAAACAGUAAAAUGAUUAAAAAUAGCUAGAUUCCUGCAGAAGGGCUGCACGUGCCAGGCCCUUCUGCCGGCGGGGCCCGAGGUGCUCGGCAGUUACUCGGGGUUUCGUCAGCAGAUGUUGGUACAAAAGCUCAGCGAGGCUCCGCACCAGGAACAGCCCCGUGGUGGCUCCGGGCUGCUCCAGGGUGACUUUGUCCAGGCCAAGACACUGGGGCCAAGGGGGGGCAGCCCAGCCCCUGGCACCCGGGCGUUUGCUUUCCUCCCAGGGGGGCGAGACGGAGGAUUUGGGGGGUUUCAGCGGUCUCCCCUGCCCGUCACUGAGCCAGGAGGAAAAUCCUCGCGAUGUCUAGCGCUGGCUGGUGUGUGACCACAGGCACGGCUUCAUGCUGGGACAGCCUGCGGUGACACAGCUGCCAACUUGUUCUUUUUUUUUUUUAAAAAAAAAAAAAAAGUGAAUUUGCAAAUUGGGACCGAAGGGCUGAAUGCAACAACAGCUGCCGUACCCUGAAGGGACCCCGCCACAAAGCUUCGGAAAAUCGUGGGGACAGCCAGCGGGGCUGCAGAGGAUUAAUGCGAGCAGGUCACCUCUCCACCCUUCGCCGCGCAGACGGGAGUUAUUUCCGCCUCCUCCUCUCCCCGCCGCGAGUCACCCGCGUUCAGCCUCCCGUGAGCCGUCGUCUUUCCCCGCAGGUUUCUCAGCCCCGGCGUGGGCACGCUCACACACACGCAGCUCUCUGUAGGCGAUCGUCACGUAGAGCUGCCGUCCCUCUCAGCCCGCCCCGCAGACGCUGAGGAGCAGCCGCGGGUCGUUUCUCCAGGGGCACAGGCUCCCAGAUCUGCCCUCGGCCUCGCCGGGACCCUCCUCAAGCCCCGAACCGCAGCGCAAUUUGGAUCAGGCUUCCCCUGGGCAUAUUUCUGAGCGCUCCAUUUCGGUGCAAAGAGCGGGAUGUCACGCCGGAAGAAAUAAUGUGAAGCCAGGUUUCUGAUGUUUGUUUUUUUUUUUUUUUUUUUUUUUCAUGUAAAGCUAAUUGCUCGUUCAGGGCCGUGCAUCCAGCUGCCACGCGAGCAUCCGCUGUUUUUCUCAGCAUCCCUUUGCUUUACAAAGAUAAGAUUUUUUGAAACGAAGCUCACGCAUCUGCAGUUUAAUUAGGGGGUGGGUGGCUGGAAGCAGGUUAUGCGCGGUGACAUCUUCAUUUACAUACAACCAGAAAAGAUGGCACAUGAGUGCCAUGGGACUUCUAAGUGUGCUGAAGGCCAUUCCCCUCCUCAUCACUUAUAGCAGUUCAGGCCACUGAUUUUUUUUUUUUUUUGGCUAAGUUUAGGUGGUUUUCAAGCGUUUGGACUCUUCUACAACAGCCAUACUAGAGGCUGGUCGCCUUAGUUCCUUAAUUUAGAGGUUGUUUGGGUUUGUCUUCAUGAGGCACAGAUGGUUUGACCGAGAUGUCUUUGUGGCCACCUCUCCAAGCACCAGGCGCCACAUCGCCUUCUUUUAUCUGCAGCGGGCGGUAUCUGCAGAUCAGAAGUGCUCAGACACUGUGGUGACAGGCACAGGAUCAAAACCGAGGGUGAUAAACAUCGACAGAGGAAGGGUGGAAUAAUUUGGGGUGGUCCACGAUGGGAGCAAGGGGAUGACAUUUAGCAAAGGAAAGUUUCAGUGCAGCAGAGAGGAAAAUGUCCUCAUGUGGAGUUGUGGUAGUCACGGAAGGUCUCUGCGGGGAGUGGUGGAGCCCCUGUGCUUGAGUGGUUCAAAAUGGGCAGGAAAAAAAAAAAACAGAACAAAAAAAAACAAAAAACAAAAAAACAAAAAACAAAAAAAACGAUGGAAAAUGUACUGUGGGAACAGCCCUGCGCUGGCAGGAGCUGAUAAACCGUAUGACCUAAAUGGUGUUUUCCGUCUCCCAAUUUAUGUGACACGGAAAGUGAUUUAUUUUGGCCUGCUCCCACUUUACUACAAUGACUAACGCCCAGCUGGCAGGGACCUGCUUUGCCCCCUGGGUAAAGAGUCCUUGAAGAAAUCUGGUGGUCGCAGAGGCGCUGAGAGAGGAGCCCUAAGAGCCCCUGCAGGGUUUGCCUUGGCUGACGGGGCAGCUCCGAGGGGCGUGCUCUUUGUCCUGCCCAAACGUCCUGUCAGUGUACAGGUCCCUCAGAAAUGAAACCACCGAGAGCACUGCCCUCUCUUGACUUAGGAGAUCUCGUUUUUCCCCGUGCCCAGGUCAGCUGAGCAGCACUUGGUUGGCAGCAGAAAAUGAAGGUGAAACCUACCCCCCCUGCCGCCCAGUGCUGUAUUUUCUAAAUUCCUACUACUCUGCUAAAAAUCACACGCGGUGCUGAGGGUGGGCAUUCGGGGAACAAUACCCAAAGCGGGGGACGGGGCAGGGGAGUCUCUUCUCCAGCAGAAGCAGCAGCUCAAGGAACCCGAAGCUGCCCCUGCUUGCUGAACACCAGCGCUCAGGAGUCACCGGCUUCUGUGGAAAUCCGCUUCAGCGCCCGUUCAUCCAGCCGUUUCCUGUCGGUGGGAAGCGUGGCGCUAGCUGCAAUAUUUGUUUUCAGUUGCCAGGACCGAGCGGUCAUUUAAAUCAUCGUAAAGUUCUGAACAAAGAACCACAUGUGCGUUUUGGGAGAAGUACCCAAAAAAAGGCUCAUCAGCAACAGCUGAGAAGCGUCCAGAAAGAGGCCAGAGGUGGGGAAUGAUUUAUGGGUGCUGUGGGUGUAACCAAGUAGCAAUAUUGCCUCAGUGUUGGCUGUUGCCAACUUUAUUAUACUUGCCCAUGUCUUUUUUGGUUUUUGCUUUUGUAGAUUCCUGCUAAAAAUAACAAUAGCACCUCCUUUGAGGGGAAGGGAAGCAGUUACUGGAGCUAGAAUGAGGUGGUAAUUCGUCUGCUAAAGCUGUACGCGGGAAGCGUUUGGGUUUUAAUUCCUGUGCUAUAAAACAAAAGGAUAAAAAGUGGCUUCUGAAGACGGGGCUUUUUCUGUGUAUUAUACCGCCUUAGCUGCAGGAAUGGAGACGGGGGAAUCCACGGAGGGGUCGGGUCGCACGGCAGAUCUGCACAACACCCCCUCACCACGAUCACGGCACAGUUCGCGUUUCCCGCACUACGCGCUGAAUCUUCAGCAGUGACCGAGCAGCCGGCCCUGUCAUCGCCGGGGCUUGGGACUAACUGGUCUCCAACGUCCCUUCCAACCCCAACCGCUGGGCGAUUGUGCGACGCCGUGGGCAGGGCAGGGGGCUGUCACCCCAGGAAUCCCCUACACAGCUUCUGACAAGCUCCGCUGUCUGGGGGAGGAUUGCAAAGGGCGGCUGCGGAUCUCGCUGCCCCCGACGGGGCGCGCUGCCCCACGUCGUGCCGCCAAACGCCGCUGCCAGCCCCGGGCAUGUUGCCCAGGACCUGCACCACCUCACCCGGAUCUACUCCCUGGCUUGGCAAACCGCCCCCCCGGCUCCGCUCACGCCGCCGUUUGCUGCAGCACAGAAACCCUUUAACCACGGGAUUUGCGACACCACAAAACGAUGGUUUUUCACUUGGCUGUCGCUGCUCUCGGAAGGAACCGGCGGCAUCAGUCUCCCAAUUCCACCUCGGUCAGUCCCUUACGACAUUCACCCAGCGGCUGUGCAGCACUUGGCAGGAGAUGGGAAUGGAAAGCUGCUUCCUUUACAAAAGUGUUUUUUCCUAAGCGGAGCGGGGAGCGGCCGUGGCGGGUCCGUCUCCUGCCCCCAAAGAACUUUCAAGCAACGAGGUUGUGCUUGGGCGAAGGGAGAGCAACGAGGAGCACGGGCGGGAGAGCCGGGGACCUGGGGGCUUGCAGAUGGGGAAUGAUGGAUUCCAUGCACAGUUCCUGGCAGGAGCAGUGAGAGAUUUCCUGGAAAAGGGCUCUUCCCUGCUGUCAGGCACGCUCUGCUGCACCCGCUGCCGCUGACCUGCGGGCUUUGGGGGGUGGCUAAAGCCCUGGUGCACUACUUGGGCCAAUUGCCCUCAAGAAUAUUCUUAGAUUGUUCACUUUUUUUUUUUUUGUCCUUCCCAAGCAACCCAAAGCUUUUGGUCCAGCUACAUCCUUCCAACGCCCGUAACAACGCUGAAAGCAAAGGACAGUCGCAGGUUUGAACGUACUCGCUUGAUUUUGUUGAAAAAUGAAACAUUUUUAAAAAUCCUUUUUUUCUGAAGCGAAAGCAGUUCUGAGGGCGAGAGCGACCCAUCCAAACCCGGGUGCCCGAAAAGAACCGCUGGGCUGGAACAUCUCCCACCCGGCAGCACCCUCCUCCCACCCCCAGAGUCUCUAACAGCGGCUGCAGCACCGGGUGAUGCUGAAAUGCUCCGUUUUUCCCAGGAAAUUGUCCUCCUCGCAGCAAGAUGUGGAGCUCCUGUCCCUGCUUCACCCCCCCAGCUGCCACUUGGCUGGGACGGUGAUCCGCUCCGUCGGCACAAGGCCAAUAUUUGCCUGUGGCCACCUGCGCUGGACGGCGCAGCCCGAGCAGCCUUCCCCAGACACAGCCACCCCUGAAAACACCGGAGGGAAAAAAAAAAAAAAAAGAAAAAAAAAAGGAGAAAGGACCAAAAUACCUUUCACUGCGCUUCACUUUUCUUAGAGCAAGCUGGCUGGGCACGGAGGCGAGCUGCUGCAGGUGCUGUCAGGGCGGUUGGUGCUUGUGCAGACACAGCCCCGAGGCCGAGCCCCCCUGCGCGGUUCACUCCGACACACGAACAGCCGAGCUUGAGCCCGCCGAGGUGCUGCUUCAAAGCCCGGCUUGUGUCACUACGCUACCUUGAAUAAAAAAAAAAAAAAAAAAAAAAAA